CAGGCUUUAAAAUCUAGUUUUAAUUAAAAUUUUUUUCCGCGGAAAAUUUUCUUGAGUGGAAAUGAACCUUUUUACACCAGAAGAAAUUGUCCUUUACAACCAGAAGAAAUUGACGUGCUUGCAUCAUUCUGUGUUCAGCACCAGGGAAUGUAUUAUUUCUUUUCUUGUAUUUAACGAAAUCGCGAAAUCACAAGUAACGUGUAUAUAUUUCUCGUGGUAACAAUCGUGCUAAUUCUUGUCGCAUAAUUACGUUUGAUAAGAGUCUAAGACUAAGGCCUGUUUUAUACGUCGAAUUCGGUCGCGUCGAAUGCAAUUCAAAUAAUAGAUAAUGAAGCUUAAUGAGGUUUAUCAUCUCCUC